rnacentral:rRNA from 1 species
CACGUAGGGUGCGAGCGUUUGUCCGGAAUUAUUGGGCGUAAAGAGCUCGUAGGCGGCUUGUCACGUCGGGUGUGAAAGCCCGGGGCUUAACCCCGGGUCUGCAUUCGAUACGGGCAGGCUAGAGUGUGGUAGGGGAGAUCGGAAUUCCUGGUGUAGCGGUGAAAUGCGCAGAUAUCAGGAGGAACACCGGUGGCGAAGGCGGAUCUCUGGGCCAUUACUGACGCUGAGGAGCGAAAGCGUGGGGAGCGAACAGG